CCCUGGCUCAGACGAACGCGGCGGCGUGCCUAAUACAUGCAAGUCGAGCGGGUUUAUCCUUCGGGAUAAGCUAGCGGCGGACGGGUGAGUAACACGUAGGUAACCUGCCUUUAAGACUGGGAUAACUAUCGGAAACGAUAGCUAAGACCGGAUAACUGGUUUUCUCGCAUGAGAGAAUCAUAAAACACGGAGCAAUCUGUGGCUUAAAGAUGGGCCUGCGGCGCAUUAGCUAGUUGGUGAGGUAACGGCUCACCAAGGCGACGAUGCGUAGCCGACCUGAGAGGGUGAACGGCCACACUGGGACUGAGACACGGCCCAGACUCCUACGGGAGGCAGCAGUAGGGAAUCUUCCGCAAUGGACGCAAGUCUGACGGAGCAACGCCGCGUGAGUGAUGAAGGUUUUCGGAUCGUAAAGCUCUGUUGCCCUAGACGAACAGCAUGAGGAGUAACUGCCCUUGUGUGUGACGGUAUAGGAGAAGAAAGCCCGGCUAA
rnacentral:rRNA from 1 species